rnacentral:lncRNA from 12 species
GCCCAGGCUGAAGUCAUCAAUGGGAGAGUCAUUGGAGAAUUAUGACAUCUGAAUACGUGAAGCAGUGACACGUCACCUGGGGGGCACUGGACAAUACCACAUAUUCUCAAGCAGUUCAUCACAUUCACUUCUUUGUGAUGAGCUUCAAAGACAGAGUCUGGAAACCAGUAGGAGAACAAUUUCAGGGGUCUUCAGGAAUAAUGGUGAACUAAGACGUGUUGUGAUGGAAGAUUCGAGAGAGAUUCCUAAGGAGACCUGCCAGGAGACUCUAACAGAUGCAUGCAUUGACUUCCUGAGGAUGCGGUAUUAUUUGUUCAUUGUCAGCGAGUGGAGACUCAGUAUAAGCUCACACAUGACCCGUGGAAG